rnacentral:rRNA from 1 species
ACGCACGCUGGCGGCGUGCCUAAUCCAUGCAAGUAGCACGCUGAAGGAGGAGCUUGCUUCUCUGGAUGAGUUGCGAACGGGUGAGUAACGCGUAGGUAACCUGCCUGGUAGCGGGGGAUAACUAUUGGAAACGAUAGCUAAUACCGCAUAAGAGUAGAUGUUGCAUGACAUUUGCUUAAAAGGUGCAAUUGCAUCACUACCAGAUGGACCUGCGUUGUAUUAGCUAGUUGGUGAGGUAACGGCUCACCAAGGCAACGAUACAUAGCCGACCUGAGAGGGUGAUCGGCCACACUGGGACUGAGACACGGCCCAGACUCCUACGGGAGGCAGCAGUAGGGAAUCUUCGGCAAUGGACGGAAGUCUGACCGAGCAACGCCGCGUGAGUGAAGAAGGUUUUCGGAUCGUAAAGCUCUGUUGUAAGAGAAGAACGAGUGUGAGAGUGGAAAGUUCACACUGUGACGGUAUCUUACCAGAAAGGGACGGCUAACUACGUG